rnacentral:rRNA from 1 species
AGAUGGCGACCGGCGCACGGGUGAGUAACACGUAUCCAACCUGCCGAUAACUCGGGGAUAGCCUUUCGAAAGAAAGAUUAAUACCCGAUGGUAUAAUCAGACCGCAUGGUUUGAUCAUUAAAGAAUUUCGGUUAUCGAUGGGGAUGCGUUCCAUUAGAUAGUAGGCGGGGUAACGGCCCACCUAGUCAACGAUGGAUAGGGGUUCUGAGAGGAAGGUCCCCCACAUUGGAACUGAGACACGGUCCAA